CCUACGGGAGGCAGCAGUGAGGAAUAUUGGUCAAUGGGCGGAAGCCUGAACCAGCCAAGUAGCGUGCAGGAUGACGGCCCUAUGGGUUGUAAACUGCUUUUAUACGGGAAUAACGCGCCUUACGUGUAGGGCUUUGUAUGUACCGUAUGAAUAAGGAUCGGCUAAUUCCGUGCCAGCAGCCGCGGUAAUACGGAAGGUCCGGGCGUUAACCGGAUUUAUUGGGUUUAAAGGGAGCGUAGGCCGGAUGAUAAGUGUGCGGUGAAAUGUUGGGGCUCAACCCGGACCUUGCCGCGCAAACUGGCGUGCUUGAGUCUGCGGAGGGCAGACGGAAUUCGUGGUGUAGCGGUGAAAUGCUUAGAUAUGACGAAGAACCCCGAUUGCGAAGGCAGCUUGCUGCAGCAGAACUGACGCUGAGGCUCGAAAGCGCGGGUAUCAAACAGGAUUAGAUACCCCAGUAGUC
rnacentral:rRNA from 1 species